GACGGUGCAGGAUCUCAAGCGUGAAGUGAUCGUUACAUUGUCAGUAGCCCCGUGGCACCCCUUGUUACCUUAUUUUCCUUGAUGUUCGUGCGCUUCUUUUCUGAGCGGCAUGCUCAAUUACGUAUCAAGGAAUCAAAAUGGAACAAGGUAUCGUCAAGUGGUUCAACGACGCUAAAGGCUUCGGCUUUAUCACCCCGGCUGACGGCGGCCCGGAUCUGUUCGCUCACUUCUCCGAAGUGAAGGUCGACGGCUUCAAGAGCCUGCAAGAAGGCCAGAAAGUGACCUACUCCAAGGGCAUGGGUCCGAAAGGCCCGCAAGCCACCAACAUCCAACCGGCUUGAUUGCUGCGUUGCUUGUUAGAAGAAAACCCCGCAUUGCGGGGUUUUUUUU
rnacentral:sRNA from 1 species